rnacentral:rRNA from 1 species
AUAAUGGGUCAGCGACUUAUAUUCUGUAGCAAGGUUAACCGAAUAGGGGAGCCGAAGGGAAACCGAGUCUUAACUGGGCGUUAAGUUGCAGGGUAUAGACCCGAAACCCGGUGAUCUAGCCAUGGGCAGGUUGAAGGUUGGGUAACACUAACUGGAGGACCGAACCGACUAAUGUUGAAAAAUUAGCGGAUGACUUGUGGCUGGGGGUGAAAGGCCAAUCAAACCGGGAGAUAGCUGGUUCUCCCCGAAAGCUAUUUAGGUAGCGCCUCGUGAAUUCAUCUCCGGGGGUAGAGCACUGUUUCGGCAAGGGGGUCAUCCCGACUUACCAACCCGAUGCAAACUGCGAAUACCGGAGAAUGUUAUCACGGGAGACACACGGCGGGUGCUAACGUCCGUCGUGAAGAGGGAAACAACCCAGACCGCCAGCUAAGGUCCCAAAGUCAUGGUUAAGUGGGAAACGAUGUGGGAAGGCCCAGACAGCCAGGAUGUUGGCUUAGAAGCAGCCAUCAUUUAAAGAAAGCGUAAUAGCUCACUGGUCGAGUCGGCCUGCGCGGAAGAUGUAACGGGGCUAAACCAUGCACCGAAGCUGCGGCAGCGACGCUGAUGCGUUGUUGGGUAGGGGAGCGUUCUGUAAGCCUGUGAAGGUGUGCUGUGAGGCAUGCUGGAGGUAUCAGAAGUGCGAAUGCUGACAUAAGUAACGAUAAAGCGGGUGAAAAGCCCGCUCGCCGGAAGACCAAGGGUUCCUGUCCAACGUUAAUCGGGGCAGGGUGAGUCGACCCCUAAGGCGAGGCCGAAAGGCGUAGUCGAUGGGAAACAGGUUAAUAUUCCUGUACUUGGUGUUACUGCGAAGGGGGGACGGAGAAGGCUAUGUUGGCCGGGCGACGGUUGUCCCGGUUUAAGCGUGUAGGCUGGUUUUCCAGGCAAAUCCGGAAAAUCAAGGCUGAGGCGUGAUGACGAGGCACUACGGUGCUGAAGCAACAAAUGCCCUGCUUCCAGGAAAAGCCUCUAAGCAUCAGGUAACAUCAAAUCGUACCCCAAACCGACACAGGUGGUCAGGUAGAGAAUACCAAGGCGCUUGAGAGAACUCGGGUGAAGGAACUAGGCAAAAUGGUGCCGUAACUUCGGGAGAAGGCACGCUGAUAUGUAGGUGAAGUCCCUCGCGGAUGGAGCUGAAAUCAGUCGAAGAUACCAGCUGGCUGCAACUGUUUAUUAAAAACACAGCACUGUGCAAACACGAAAGUGGACGUAUACGGUGUGACGCCUGCCCGGUGCCGGAAGGUUAAUUGAUGGGGUCAGCGCAAGCGAAGCUCUUGAUCGAAGCCCCGGUAAACGGCGGCCGUAACUAUAACGGUCCUAAGGUAGCGAAAUUCCUUGUCGGGUAAGUUCCGACCUGCACGAAUGGCGUAAUGAUGGCCAGGCUGUCUCCACCCGAGACUCAGUGAAAUUGAACUCGCUGUGAAGAUGCAGUGUACCCGCGGCAAGACGGAAAGACCCCGUGAACCUUUACUAUAGCUUGACACUGAACAUUGAGCCUUGAUGUGUAGGAUAGGUGGGAGGCUUUGAAGUGUGGACGCCAGUCUGCAUGGAGCCGGCCUUGAAAUACCACCCUUUAAUGUUUGAUGUUCUAACGUUGACCCGUGAUCCGGGUUGCGGACAGUGUCUGGUGGGUAGUUUGACUGGGGCGGUCUCCUCCUAAAGAGUAACGGAGGAGCACGAAGGUUGGCUAAUCCUGGUCGGACAUCAGGAGGUUAGUGCAAUGGCAUAAGCCAGCUUGACUGCGAGCGUGACGGCGCGAGCAGGUGCGAAAGCAGGUCAUAGUGAUCCGGUGGUUCUGAAUGGAAGGGCCAUCGCUCAACGGAUAAAAGGUACUCCGGGGAUAACAGGCUGAUACCGCCCAAGAGUUCAUAUCGACGGCGGUGUUUGGCACCUCGAUGUCGGCUCAUCACAUCCUGGGGCUGAAGUAGGUCCCAAGGGUAUGGCUGUUCGCCAUUUAAAGUGGUACGCGAGCUGGGUUUAGAACGUCGUGAGACAGUUCGGUCCCUAUCUG